GCCAGGUGUGGAGUUGCACACCUGUAAUUCCAGCAGCUUGGGAGGCUGAGGCAAGAGGAUCACAAGUUCAAAGCCAGCCUCAGCAACUUAGCAAGGCCCUAAGCAACUUAGUGAGACCUUGUC
rnacentral:sRNA from 1 species